UACGUAGGGAGCAAGCGUUGUCCGGAUUUAUUGGGCGUAAAGAGCUCGUAGGCGGUUUAGAAAGUCAUGUGUGAAACCUCCAGGCUCAACCUGGAGACGCCACUUGAUACUUCUAUGACUUGAGUUUGGUAGGGGAUCACGGAAUUCCUGGUGUAGCGGUGAAAUGCGCAGAUAUCAGGAGGAACACCGAUGGCGAAGGCGGUUCUCUGGGCAUUACCUGACGCUGAGGAGCGAAAGUGUGGGGAGCGAACAGG
rnacentral:rRNA from 1 species